CAGGAGACAAGAAAUUUCCUCUCCAAGUACCACAUAAGCAUGAUAUUCACUAUAUUUUCCAGCAACUUACAAAUGCAUGAAUUUAACCCAUUAGUAUUCAUGGAUACUUUAUAGGACGUGGAAACUUCUUUUUAAGUGCCUCUCACUCCGUUUUACGGAAAGAUAUGCAGGAGCUAAUUAUUUUCUAAAAGAAAAGAGAAGUGGUGCGUUACAAGUGUAGUGGAGAAGGCUGGAAGUAAUGGAAACCUCUCGCUGGAGGCCAGUAAAGUGACUGCAUCCCUAGAAGAUGGAAGUCGGCUGGGGUUGCAAGAAUAUCGUCUAUAAAAGGAGGCCAAAGUGGACAGUGACAUCAUCAGAGCUAGCCACGCCAUCAUGGUAAUGAGUAGCUAACUCUCACCGGCCAAGAGGAGGAUGUUCUGGGAGAAGAAGGAAGACACUGGAAAUACUCUGGUGAAGAAGGAAAUGUCCAGGAACACCGAGGGCAUCAUGCGCUACACCCACUUUGCUGACAAUCAGAAACCAAAGGAUGACUGCUGCUUUUGGAAGGUGAGGCUCCUGUUCAAUACCAUGAAUAGGACAGCGGAUAAAUACAUUGAGAAGACUGAGUACGUCUCGGUAGACGAGUCAAUGAUCAAAUAUUUUGGUUCCUAUCCCCUCAAGCAGUUCAUCAGGGGAAAGCCAACUCGCUUUUGGCUACAAAGUAUGGGUAUUGGCCAUCUCUAAUGGGGAGCUGAUUCGGUGUGAGACAUAUGGUGGUACCAAAAAAAAAAAAAGUUUGAUUACGGCCUCGGUCAAGGACCGAACGUUGUCUACGGCCUGGUGGAAGAUGCAAAAAUUGGUGGCCGGCAGCAAGGUUGCGUGUGACAACCUCUUUGGACCUGCUGGACAAUAUGUCGAAGAAAGGAAUAAGAGUGGUUAGGACAAUGCGACAGAACAGACUAUGCAAUAUCUCUCUCCCAUCCAAACAGCAACCCAAGAAAAUGAAGAGAGGCCAGAAGGAGGAAGUGUACGUGGGAGAUGAUCAAGUCCUGGUUGUGUGAAAGGACUCUUCACCAGUGUAUAUGGCCUACAACUUCGCGGACGUCUGUCUUUUGGGAAAAUGCACCAGGUAUUCAUCAGAGGAGAAAGGGAAGGUGAAGGUGGACCAGCCUAACACCAUCAAGGUUUACAACACCAAGACGAGCGGUGUGGACCUCCUGGACAACAUGGCGCUUUGUUACUCCAUCACAACCCGCAAUCGCAAGUGGUACUGGGUAAUGCACAAUUGUUUUUUUGAGUGUGUCUUUUGUCCAGCCAUGGCGUCUGUACCGUAAGAUGGGGAUGGUGAUGGGUAUCCAAGACAAUGAGAGAAUGCCUUUCUUGACCUUCAUUCGGUCGUGUGUGGAGAUGAUAGUAGUUUUCCAUGGUGAUGACAACACCAGACGCAUCCACACCCUUCCUAUCCUCUCCCUCAGCAUCCUGGCAGACAUUAGGAAGGACAAUGGGAACCACCUAGUGGUCAAGACACCUGACAAGAAAAAUGUAUGUAAUAACUGUAGAAAGAGGACCAUGUACAGGUGUCACAGAUGCAACCUGGGUCUUCAUCCAGACUGUUUUGAGGUCUACCAUCAAUGAUUCUAACAACAAUCU